rnacentral:lncRNA from 1 species
GAAGGAAUUGAGUCUUGGACUUAAUGUCUUUUUAAUGAACGUAGUGACAAGAAGAAAUUUUGGCAGGAGUCAGCAGCAGUCUCCCCUUCCUGAGGCAGAGGAGGGUGGCAGGAAGGACAGGAGGAAUGUGAGUCAGACAGCAAAUAGUUCUCCCCACAACAACAUCCUCAGGGGAUAGGAGAAGGUCGGUGGAGAAGAUAGAGCACAAAAGACCCAGGGUGUCAACAGGGCUGUUGGUGAUCCGGGGGGACAUCUUGAGUGCCGGGAUCUUCAUGUCUCUCUGUUAUUUAUCCCCAGGCCUGGCACGGUGCAUGGCGCAAAACUAGUCCGCAGAGUAUGUUUACUGAAUGAAUGAUGGAUGGCCCCCGAGACUGUUUUUGAAUGGCUUGAAACCAAGAACUCAAAAAAGAGAUUCUGUGAAGCUAUGGUUUCGGGAGACCUGGAUCUUUUCAGUUAAAGCAGUAGCCGAAAGCCUGUGUAUGAUGCAGAGGAAAGAUCCUGGACAUUUCCAGGUAGCUCCAGGGCACGUGGCCAACCCAAUGGGUCAAACCGUAAGGGAGCAGGCUGCAUCAUCAUACGUAAAAUUGUGGGCUUCCUAACAGUGGAAGGUGCUACUCUGAGAAACAGAAGCUGAAAGUAUUCAAGGAGGGGACGGAUCUGUCUUGCAGGGUGAAACCAGGUGUGUGUGUCAUGACUGUUUAAACCCCCAAGUCUCUCCUGCUCCAAGAAACCAUUUCUUAACUUUCUCAGUAAAGAAUUUGUUCAGUGUGGGUCUUUUCUGCCUGAAAUUAAAGAUGCUAAACGAUUUACUCCAGGGCGCGUAUCUGGUAAUUGGUGGGUUUUAUGCCUGUGAGGACAGCUGGAUGGAGUUGCCUGCCGUUCAGGGUGUGGGCCUUGGGCCAGUGGCUGCAGCCCCACCUGGAACCACACGGGAAGAGCGGAACCCUGACCCGAGUCGGAGAUUCCAGGGCCAAGCCGUAUGCGCGUGAAAGUGGGAGAAGCACCGAGCGAGCGGCUUAGGGGACUCCCACAACCGAACUCCCGGACGAUGAGAGCUCAGACCUGGGGGACGUGAGCAGCUUCAGUUCAGUCUUAUCAGGACAUGUCACACAAACCUCAGAGUGAAGCCAGUGGGUUGAUUUGUAGUUAAAAUGAGUCGUGCCCAUGGUAAGGAGAAAUAAUACAAAUUAAAGAUAAGAGAUUUAUUUUAUUAUUUUUAAAAUUAUUUUAUUAUUUAUUAUUUUAUUAUUAAAGAUAAAAGAUUAAUUUUUCCUGUUGAAAAUAAGGGAGGAGAUUUCCCUCCUCCCCUUUUUUCUCAGAGCAUUUUCCUUAGAAAACUUGUAAUUGGACAUACUUUCUCAUCUGUUUGAAAUAUAUGAGAAUCCUUUUUGAAACCUGGAUAGGACUUUUGUCAGCUUUCUGAACAGGGAAUGUCUUUCUUAA